CACUGUGACCAAAUAGCCCAGAAUGUGACGCAUCUCGUCAGCUCUCGGAAGCUAAGCAGGAUUAAACCUGGAUAGUGCUUGAGUAGGUGACCACUAUGCAUAACAGGUGAUGUCGGCUGUGG
rnacentral:rRNA from 1 species